GCCUUGGAGCUCUGAGAUGAAUGGGGAGAUUCCAUGUGCUAAUCUCAUUUCCAAAUGUAAUUGGCACCUGAAUUAUGAAGCCUGCGUCCAGUCCAAAGGCUGGGCUCACAGAGCCAUCUAUCCUCCCUCCAUGGAGGUGGGCCAGCGUGCCCCUGUGAUGCGUGUUCACUGCUCCAGCAACGAAGAAGCAGUGGUACAACUUUUUGGGGGGCAACGGGGCACCAAAAACAUCUGAACUGACAAGCUUUCCUUGUAGUGUGAUGGAUUAAGCAGAAGGCUUGAGUCUAUGCUACUCCCAGUGUGGCCAUGGCUCUCAUUGGAUCAGCCCAAACAGAAGUCAGAGGGCAGGAGUCCAGGUGAUACAGUUUGUAGAGGUCAACUUCCAGGGAACAAAGCAGAGCAGCAAGAAGCGGAAAAUGAGC